UAGACAGAAAAAAAAUGAGGCAACAGAGAGGUAUUUGGGGAGUUUUAAUGGUGGUUGCCCUCUCUCUGUUCGCCGGUGAUGUUUCCAUUUUCGCGAAGAAAACUUCAAAUAAACCACCAUUUAUCUUUAGGGCGUCGUUUGGUACUGCUCUUGUAUUGAAACUUCCGAUGAAAAAUCGGAAGUUUUUGCAGUAUGUAUGUGUUCACACACAUACAUCUAUGUAUCUAUAUAUAUAUAUAUAUUCACAUACAGGAAGGAAAGGUUUAGGGUUUAAGAUCUGACCCUUUUACUGUUUCUUCUUCUUCUUCUUUUUCCUCAUCAUCAUCAUCAUCUGCGAAUCCUUGAAAAGGGUUUUCGCGAUGGUUGGAGUUGUUGUUGUUAUUAUUAUUAUUAUUAUUAUGGUUGUUGUUGUUGUAAUGCAUGAGAGGCUAUGAUGAUUAAGGUGUCUAGAGUUCAUGGGGUUAAAGGAGCAGGGUCCGUAUCUUGGCGGGGCGACCCGGAAGACAUUUUGGUAGUGCAACCGAGGUCUGCAGCCAUGGCGGAUGCAUUGUCUCCUUUGCUCUGAUUAUACAGAUCUGAGCCUUAAAAUCGGAAGUUACUGCAGUAUGUGUAUACACACAUUCAUUGUUCAUCUCUCUCUCUAUAUAUAUAUACAGGAAGGAAGAAGGGUUCAGGUUUAAGAUCUGACUCUUUUGGUUCUUCGUUUUGUCAUCGUCAUAUUCACCUUCUCCAACCCUACCACUUUGUUACGGAUGAGAGGCUGUGAUGAUUAAGGUGUUUAGAGUUAAUGGGGCAAGAGAGCUGUACCCGUAUCUUGGCCGGGCAACCCGGAAUGCCUAUUCGUAGUGCAACCGAGGUCUGCAGGCAUGGCGGGUGCAUUGUCUCCUUUGUCUUGAUUAUACUUAUCUGAGCCUUAAUGAAGUCCAAUACGAAUAGGCUGUGAUGAUAUAGAGCUUAUUGAGUUAAUCAGGUUUUGGUCAGGUCGAACCGAAUCUUGGUAGGGAAAACUAAACUGUGUUGUAAAUGGUGUAACGAGUAUUGGGAUGAAAUAGGUCAUAAUUGAGUGGAAUGGAUGUUAGGGAUUCAUUUAGCUUAUCCAACUAGAUUGUUGUUUGCAGCUAUGGCGGUGUCCCGAUUUUGUGACAUAUCUGAGCCUAGUUGAGAGAAUAAUUGGUCGAGAAUGUAAAAUAAGUAGAACACUUGAGAAUAUGAAUUAGGCAGAGCAUUGUGAUGGGCAGUAAUAUCUGAAUGCUAAUAGUUGUAUUCUAUCAUGGAUUCCACUUUCCAUCCAUGUUCCUUACUCACCGGUAAAUAGAACCGAGCUGUUCUUGGCGUAGUAAUGUAAAUAUAUGACCUUUGGGAAGAUCAAGUUGUUACUCUCUAGCUAAACUUUACUGAUUCAGGUGUUCUUCAUCAGUAAAAACCUCAGCUCAACUCGCUCUCUUAUCAAAGAAGAACACAGUUUAUACAACAUUUCAACUGUUUGAAAUCAAAGAAAUGGACCUCUUCUUCCCAUUCCAAGAAUGAUUACCUUACUAGAUUUUUGUUACCAAGGGAUAUCGACCAAUCUUCGCCUUCAUUUACUUAAGUUGAAAUAACGGAAGCAAGUAGGGAAAAUAAGUUUUAUAAAUAAUAUUUCAAGUUGAUUGUCUCCUUCCAAUAUUUUUGAUCCCAGCCCCUUGACCACCAUACUACUCUCUUCCUAUCUCAUUCAUUACUAUUGUUAAACAAUUUUGUUUACUUACCGAACAUAAAAAAAUAAAAAAAGAUAUCUAUUUACACACUUUUCAACCAAAUAUUUUCCUCACAUCAGAAUAUCAAACCAUGAACAAAAGAAAGACAAUCAAACACACUCUCAGUUUCAACAUCUAAUGAUUAUUAACGAGCACCAAACAAUUGCUAUAUCUUCUAUGUGCUAACUUUGAAUUCGAAGAGUGAAAAUAUGUAUCGAACUUAUUAAUUAGUAUAAUUUUAAAAGAAAAUGUGAAUAGUAAAAAUGUAACGCAUGUAAAAGAAAGAUACAUGUACUAUAAAAUAGCAAUCCAAAGAUUGUGUUCUGAAACUCUGGAUGGGAAAAAAUGAGGGGAUGGAGAGGCAUUGGGGAGUUUAUAAUGGUGGUUGCCCUCUCUCUGUUCUUCAGCCGAUGAUUUCCCUUUUCUAAGUUUCACCAAAACCACCAUACUUGAAAAUGGUCUUAUCAUCUAUACUAAGAGCUUGUUUGGAUUGGCUAAAUGUUGAGCUCUCUAAUGAAGUUUUCUAGAGUUGGGUCAGGCAUAUUGGAGUUAGCCCGUAUCUUGGCGGGGCGACGACCCGGUAUAAGACAUUUCCAUUGUUUUGCUAACUGAGGUCUGCAGCCAUGGCGGUUGCUUUGUCUCCUUUUUUGCUUGAUUUUGUAUUACAGAUCUGAGCCUAUUAACACUUUUGAAAACUGCUUCUGCUUCUUCACUUGUUGAUGCUGUAACGAUGACAAAUGGAAUUGGGCCGGGUAUUGGAGCUGCACGUACUUGGCGGGGCGACCCGGUAAGGCAUUUCUAUUGUUUUGCAAACUGAGGUCUGCAGCCAUUGCGGUUGCUUAGAACCUCAAAAGAAAAAACCAUUUCAGUUUUGGCAAGUAAUUAUUUGUGAACCCCUUUUUGUUAGAAUAGCUCAGAAUGAGGCAGCAGAGAGAGUAAUGGGAUUUCUAAUCAAGGGUGGUUGCCCUUCUCUCUGCUUUGCUUAUGAUUCUUCCAUUUUCUAAACAAACCAACAGCCCUUAAUAAAGAGAAAGAGAGAAAGAUGGAGUACACACUAGUUUCUGUUGUUUUUUUCUUCCAGUCAGUUAGGUUCUGGACUCUGAUUUUCUUGAGCUGAGUCUAUUGGAAACAACUUCUCUAGUCCCCAAAAAGGACCGGGGUAAGGUAUAUGUACCGUUGCUAGCUUUUAAUUAUAAGAUGAGGAUGUGAUGAUAACAAAUAAAGUUGUAUAGAGUUAGCUUGGGCAUUGGAGCCAUGGCGGUUGUUUUGUUUCCUUUUGACUGGUUUUAUAAUGAAUCUGAACCUCAGGAGAAAGAAUUGGCUGAAAGACCUUGAUUCUUGUGAAUUCCUUUUUGUUAGGUUAGCCUAAAAAAGACAAGAAUGAGGCAGUAAAGAGUAUGGGAUUUCUAUCAAGGGUGGUUGCCCUUCUCUCUAUGCUUUGCCUGUGAUUCUCCAUUGCUCAAAGCAAACCAACAGCCCUUAAAAGAGAAAGAGACAGAGAGAUACACUUGAGUUUCUGGGUUUCUUUGCAUUUUUGCACCCAAACGUAUGCUCAUAAGGCAAUACACACAACUAUGCUACAACAACCGCAUGACUAUUGACUAUGAAAACUAUUAAAGAGGCAGUGAUGAUUUCUGGGCUAACUGAAUUUCGGGCAUGGAGAUUACCCACCCCGUAUCUUGGCGUGGCAACCGAUAUGGCCUGUAAUUGAGACCUCACUCAUGCAAUCGUGUGUUGCAGCCAUGGCGUGGUUGACUUCUCUUUUGCCUUAUCAUAACACAAAUCUGAGCCUCAAUUUGCUUAAGAAAAAAGGGAAAAGGGUCAAAUUUACCCCUUCACCAUGACCAUGCAUAGGGGGCAAUAUCUUUUCCAUGAUAAAUGUGGGAGAUAUUGAACCCACACCCUUUUCAGGAGAAGUUAAAAUACUCACACUACUAAGAUGCUCUCUAUUUCAAGGGCUCCGAGAAUAUAAACUACAGUAAAACCUCUCUAAAAAUUGAUACUCGAUAAAUUAAUAUACUCUCUCAAAUAAUAUUUUUCUCCUGCCCUGGCUUGGGCCAGUGGAAAAAAUGACUGAUUUCGAUAAGAUAAUAUAUUUUUGGAAGUCCCCUAUAUAAAUAUAUGGUCCCAUUAUCUGAAGUAACAAUACAAUACAAUACAAUGGGUAGCAACCAUCCAAACAAGUUGUUAUUGAUUCGUUCGGUUUAGAUACAAGUUAUGCUAGUAUGAUUGACGGCUUUAAAGAGGCAAUGAUGAUUUUAGCAACCUUUCAUUUCUUUAUGAGCUUAUUAAUCGGACAUUUGAGAUUAUCUGGCUCGUAUCUUGGCUGGGCAUAACCCCAGAUUUUCUGGUGAUUUUUGCAGCCAUGGCGUCGUUGGAUCUCUUUUUGCCCGGAAUGUAACACAGAUCCUGAGCCUCAUUUUCUGGAAACUCUUCUUUGUAUAAAUCUGAGGUUGCGGUUAAAACAGAGAGCUGUGGAGAGUUUUUAUGGGUGGUUUUGCCCCUCUCUGUCAUUCUCUGCUGCCAAUGAUCUCUCAAAUAAAAGUGUUUCCAAUUGCAAAACCACCCUUAGUUGAUUGAUUUAUUACUCCCUCUGUUCCACUUUUUGGAGGCUAUGAAGAUUGUUGUUUGUGAAAGAUGAAUCAGACAUUUUCCUCUAGAGCUAAAAGACUGUUUAGGCAUUUGAACAAAAUGACCUAAAGUAAGUGUGUUCUGCAACUCUAGACGGAAAAAAUGAGGUGAUGGAGAGGCAUUGGGGAGUCUUUAAUGGUGGUUGCCCUCUCUCUGUUCUUCCGCUGAUGAUUUCCUUUUCAAAAUUUCACCAAAACCACCAUAGUUGAAAAAGGUCUAAUCACAUAUACGAGCGUGUUUGGAUUGCUGGCUUAUAUUAUGUGCUGUUGAGCUAAAAUAUACUCUCUCUAGUCCAUAUUAAAGUGAACUGAAGCACACUACUACUACUACUACUUCUCCUUCUUCCUAUGAGGCUGUGAUGAUAACAAAUGAAGUUGUAUAGAGUUGAGUUGGGUUGGGUAUUGGAGCUGCACGUAUCUUGGCGGGGCAACCCAGUAAGGUAUUCCAUUUUGCAACUGAGGUCUGCAGCCAUGGCGAUUGAUUUGUCUCCUUUUGCCUGGUUUUAUAACAAAUCUGAACCUUAGGAGAAAGAAUUAGCCGAAAGAUGCUUGAAGUCUUGUGAAUUCCCUUUUGUUAGGUUAGCCUAAAAACGGCAAGAAUGAGGCGGCAGAGAGUAUGGGAUUUCUAUCAAGGGUGGUUGCCCUUCUCUCUAUGCUUUACUUAUGAUUCUCCAUUUCUCAAAACAAACCAACAGCCCUUUAAAAAGAAAGAGACAGAGAGAGUACAAUUGAGUUUCUGGGUAUUUUUGCAUUUUGCACCCUUAAACGUAUGCUCAUAAGGCAAUACGCACAACUAUACUACAACAACAACAAUAAAAUGACUACGAAAACUAUUAAAGAGGCAGUGAUGAUUUCUGGGCUAACCAAAUUCCGGGCAUGGAGAUUACCCAACCCGUAUCUUGGCGUGACAACCCGGUUUGGCCUGUAAUUGAGACGCAUAACUCACACAUGCAAUUGUGUGUUGCACCCAUGGCAUGGUUGGCUUCUCUUUUGCCUUGUCAUUUCACAAAUCUGAGCCUCGAUUUGCUAAAGAAAAAAGGGAAAAGGGUCAAAUUUACCCUUUUACUAUGCAUAAGGGGAAAUAUCUUUUCCAUGAUUAAUGUGGGAUAUAUUGAACCCACGCCCUUCUGAUUUGCAGUUUUAAUGCUUUUAAUUCAUAAUGUAUCUCCAUCUUUUGAUAAGUAACUGCUCAAGAAUGAGGCAUUUGAAUGAAAUGUUGGAUUUUUGAGGGGUGGUUGCCUCCCUUCUCCGGUAAUCCCCUGAUUUUUUUUUCAAGUCUUGCAUUUAUGUUAGUUAACCAUGUUCAUAUUUUUCUGGUGGUUGUUGCAGCCAUGUUGUCAUCGGAUCUCUGUUUGCUUGAGCUUAAUUUCUGGGAAAUUAGAAAAAACUGCAUAAAUGGGAUACUUUGAAGCUGAUGUUUAAAUUGUCAAUGGUGAGAGAAGAUGAUUUUAUCAAUCUUUCAUUCCCUUCUGAGCUUAUUAAUUGGGCAUUUGAGAUUAUCCGACCCGUAUCUUGGCAGGGCAUGCCGCUAGUUUUUCUGGUGGUUUUUGCAGCCAUGGCGAUGUCGAAUCUCUUUUUGCAUCUGUCAAGUUGAAAGUGAUCACUGUCCAACUGACAAUUCAUGGCAAGUUUGAGGGGCUAUCUAUGUAUUGGCCUAUCUAAAGUAACAUUACAAUACAAUACAAUGGUUAACAACCAUCCAAACAAGCUCUUAUUCAUUUGGUUUAGACACAAGUUAUGCCAAUAUGAUUGACGGCAUUAAAGAGGCAAUGAUGAUUUUAGCAACUUAUCAUUCCCUUGUGAGCUUAAUAAUCGAACACUUGUGAUUAUCCAGUUUAUAUCUUGGCAGGGUAUAACCCCAGAUUUUCUGGUGGUUUUUGCAGCCAUGGCGUCAUUGGAUCUCUUUUUCCCAGGGAUAUACCACAGAUCUGAGCCUCAUUUUCUAGGAACUCUUCUUAGUACAAGUCUGAGGUUGUGGUGAAAACAGAGAGCUGUGGAGAGUUCCUAUGGGUUGUUUUACCCCUCUCUGUCAUUCUCUGCUGCCAAUGAUCUCUCAAAUGGAAGUUUUUUAAUUGCAAAUUCAUCCUUAGUUGAUUGAUUUAUUUAUUACUCCCUCUGUUCCACUUUUUAGAGACUGUGAAGAUUGUUGUUUGUGAAAAUCAUCAUACAUUUUCCUCUUGAGCUGAAAAGACUGUUGAAGCUGAGAAAUUCUCUUUUAAAUGCAGAAUUUUGAGGUUUUUUCGUUUUAAGCUCUCUUAUAAGCGAAUUCCAUUUAUUAGGUUAGCCCAGAAAUAGAGGAAUGAGGAUGCAGAGAGUAUGGGAUUUUUUUCAAGGGCGGUUGCCCCUGUCUGCUUUGCCUAUGAUUCUCCCCUUCUCAACAAACCAACAGCCUUUAAGAGAAAGAAAGAGCAACAUAGUACUUCAGUUUCUGGUUUUCUGGAUGAUCAUUCAUGAAAUUUCCCCAGUUUUCAAGUAUACCACAACAAUUACGCCACCUUCAGUUCUUCAGUCUGUCUUCUCUUGGCUCUUUGCAUAUUUGUUCCCAUUUUCUCUUAUUGUUAGUGGAAACUGGAAAGUGUUCCCUUAUGAUGCAUUCUGCUACAGAAAGGGGCUAUGAUGAUGCUUAUGUAUCUUGUAGUUCUGUGCUGAUCAUGGAACAUUGAGAUGAACCGACCCGUAUCUUGGCGUGGCAACCCGGUGUGGCCUGUUGAGAACUUCUCUCCCUCUCAUGCAAUCGGUGUUUUGCAGCCAUGGUGAGACUGGCUUCUCUUUUGCCAUAUCAUUACAUGCAUCUGAGCCUCAAUUUGUUGAAGAACAUAAGUAGGCGUUUGGACAUUGUUGCAGUUGAAGUUGUGAAUUCUCUUAAAUGCAGACUUGUGAGGUCUCUUCAGUUAAAAGCUCUCAUCUAAACGAAGUCUCUUAUUUUAGCAGAAAUGACGAGUAUGAGGCAGCAGAGAGUAUGGGAUUUCUUUCAAGGGUGGUUGCCCCUCUCUGCUUUGCCUAUGAUUCUCCCCUUCUCAAUAAACCAACAGCCCUUAAAAAAAAGAAAAAGAGAAAAUAUAUCAACUUCAGUUUCUUGGUUUCUUUGGGUCCUGUUGUUGUGAUACAUACUCAAAAGCCAAACACUUCAGUUUCCUUGUUUCUUCAGUCUGUCUCCUUUAUGACUUUGGACUCUAAAAAAGGCAGUGAUGAUAACUUUUUCUAAAUCUGGGCUAACCAGUUCAGGCAUGGAGACGAUCUGAUCCGUAUCUUGGCGUGGCAAUCCAGUAUGGCUGUGAUUGCUAAAAGUGUCUACCUGGCAUUAUGCUACCUGUGAUAAGAGUUUCUUCUCUCACACACACAACCAAUGUUUUGCAGCCAUGGCAUCGUUGACUUCUCUUUUGCCUUAUAUCUGAGCCUCAAUUUGCUAAGGAAAGUAUAUUUUUUUUAUGCUUGUAUAUGGAAUAUAUCGAACCCACACCUUUUUGCAUACAAGUGAAGUUAUAUUGUUGUUCCCUCGUAAUGUGUUGCCAAAUCUUUUAUCCGUAAUAGGUCAAGAAUGAGGCAUUUGAGUGAAAUGUGGGAUUUUCGUGAUGGUGGUUCCCUUCCUUCUCUGCAAAUGAAUGUUUUUGGGCGUGAUGAUGAUGGGGAUAAACAAUUUCAGCGUUGAGGCUACUAACCCAUAUCUGGGCUUGGCAAAUCAGUGGAAUAUUGACUGGUGAUUUGAGUCCUCUUUCGCAUGCACGGUGCACGACUGGUGUUUUGCAGCCAUGGCACGGUUACCUUCUCUUUGCCUGAUCGUUUCUGCAGAUCUGAGACUCACCUUUUUUCGGCACCUGCAAAUUUGUAUCCAAAGAUCAAUAAAAAGCAGGCAGUUCUAGAGCAAGUGAAUUUGAAAGCAGUCUCUUUUGCACACAUAUUGCAUCAAUAAUUUUGCUAUAUCUUCAGUAUUCAAAUAAAAUAAUGAGGAUAUUCCUUUAGAUAUGUUGUUCUUAGUUUCUAGUUUUCCUCAUCCAUUGCAGUAAUUAGCUUGGAAGUUGGAAGAAUCAUGGCUGAAUGGUACUGUCUAUAACUUUGUUUUUUUUGUCUUAUGGCUUUGAUGGCCUUUUGUGCAUAUCUUCUACUAAUUUUUUUGCUCUUUGUUGGUGCCUUGGCUGGGAGAUUGUUCCUUGGAAGCAGUUGUCUCUCCCACCAAAAUAUCGUGAAGGAUUCAAUGUCUUGAAACUUGGUAACACAAGACAACUCACUGAUUUGUUGUUAGCUCUACCGGAGGAGUCUGAAAUCAACACCUAACUGCUUGGGCAUUGAGUCUGAAAUCAACACGUUACAUUUUUUUAAAAUUGUAAGGUGCAUGUCAGGUUGCACCUUACUAUAUACAAUUUAACGACAUCCACCUUCCUUACCCUUUUGAUUUAAUUAUUUUUUGUUGUACUUUUGAAAAGUUUGCUCAAUUUUUUUUUUACCCUUUUGAAAGUGUUACAUUAAUUAAUAAAAUUAUUUAUGACUUUGAAGGGGCUUGUGUAAGGAGAAAAUGAGCAAUGAGGGAUAGAGGGAGUACCAUUUACCUCAAAGGAAUCACAAGAAUACUAAUGAUGGACAAGUUCCCAUGUCCCACAUGUGUCAGUCAUUUACUUGAAAUUUGAUCCAAAUGCAGAUACAAACAAGACACUUUAUUUCAAAAAUUGCCACUUAACCCCUCUAGAUUCUUCCAUGGAACAGUUUUUGGGUAUAUAAACCACAAAAACUCGCAAGUGAAAAAAGUAGCAAAGAAGAGGUUAGCCCAGGUAAAAUGAGGCUAAACAGAGAGUUUUGGUAAUUUCUUUACAAGGGUGGUUGCCCCUCUCUUGUUUAACCAAUGAUUUUUCCACACAAAAAAAGCAACAACCCUUGGAUUCAUGUUAAUUUCCUGGAAAUUAUUGAAUCAUUUGUACCAGGAAAACAUACAUACAUACGUACGUACGUACUACUAUAUUCCAACAUAUAUAUAGCAAUUAUUCUGGCUGGCUUUCUGUUUCUGUACUCUCUCAAUGUUGGUUUAUUUUCUCAGUUUUGAUCCAUUGAGGCAGUGAUGAUAAUGCUGAUGAAUCUGGGCUAACCGGAUCGGGCAUAGAGAUUAUAUGAUCCGUAUCUUGGCUUGGCAAAUCACGGUGAUUUCGCAGCCAUGGCGUGGUCGCCUCUCUCUUUUCCUCGAUCUCUUUGCAGAUCUGAGCCUCUAAAAACUUAAAUUUCCUGGAAA